AUUCCAGUCUAUCAUCUUCGUUCACUAUGUCAGAUCGAUGCCAUGUUUUCUGUCCCCCUAUCGGUAAAUAUUGGAACGCAGAGGGCGCUGACCCGUCCCUGAAAAUUCUACAUGGUGGCGCUCCAAAAAAUCUGUACUUUCAAUUUCGCUGUUGUAUCCAAGUGCUAUUUAAAAUGCUGUUCAAAAUGUACUUUAUCUUUGACACUAUUUCAUCUAGAGAGUUCCUUUCGCUAUGGAAUCCCAGCCGGAAAUGUCUUCCGCAUCUACACAGUCAACCACCGUAAAUCUUAACGACCUGCAAAGUUACCUCGUAACCUUCAACAAAGAAAUCGAGUCAAGCGACCAAAAUACAUUUGAGUUCAAAACUGUGCCAGCUGGAACAAGUAUAGGAGACGACAAGCCAAAGGCCGAAAAAAAUGAAGAAACAGGAGGAACAUCUGCAUGCAGAGUUGAGGAUAUUGGUUAG